UACGUAGGGUGCGAGCGUUGUCCGGAAUUAUUGGGCGUAAAGAGCUCGUAGGCGGUGUGUCACGUCGGCCGUGAAAACUUGCAGCUUAACUGUGGGCGUGCGGUCGAUACGGGCAUCACUGGAGUUCGGCAGGGGAGACUGGAAUUCCUGGUGUAGCGGUGAAAUGCGCAGAUAUCAGGAGGAACACCGGUGGCGAAGGCGGGUCUCUGGGCCGAUACUGACGCUGAGGAGCGAAAGCGUGGGGAGCAAACGGG
rnacentral:rRNA from 1 species